GCCCAAAUACUCUAAUUGUACCAGAUCCUGUUUGAUCUUGGAAGCUAAGCAAGAUAAGUCCUGCUUAGUAUUUGGAUGGGAGGCCACCAUCAAAUACCAGGUGCUAUGGGCU
rnacentral:rRNA from 1 species